GACGUAGGGCGCGAGCGUUGUCCGGAAUUAUUGGGCGUAAAGAGCUCGUAGGCGGUUUGUCGCGUCUGCUGUGAAAACCUAAGGCUCAACCUUGGGCUUGCAGUGGGUACGGGCAGACUAGAGUGCGGUAGGGGUGACUGGAAUUCCUGGUGUAGCGGUGGAAUGCGCAGAUAUCAGGAGGAACACCGAUGGCGAAGGCAGGUCACUGGGCCGCAACUGACGCUGAGGAGCGGAAAGCAUGGGGAGCGAACAGG
rnacentral:rRNA from 1 species